rnacentral:rRNA from 1 species
CAAUAGCGUAUAUUAAAGUUGUUGCAGUUAAAAAGCUCGUAGUUGGAUUUCUUGGAGGGUGCCAAUGUCCGCUACGGCGUGCGCAGCGGCGCCCUUCCAUCCUUCUGUUAACGCCUCUUGGCAUUCGUUUGCUGGUGGCGGGCUCAGAUAUUUUACCUUGAGAAAAUUAGAGUGUUUCAGGCAGGCUAGGCCGGAAUACAUUAGCAUGGAAUAAUGGAACAGGACUAUUGUCUCUUUGUUGGUUUGAGGGACUGCAGUAAUGAUUAAUAGGGACAGUUGGGGGCAUUAGUAUUUAAUUGUCAGAGGUGGAAUUCUCAGAUUUGUUAAAGACUAACUUAUGCGAAAGCAUUUGCCAAGGAUGUUUUCAUUAA